GUCCCCGUAGCUCAGUUGGAUAGAGCGCUGGCCUGCGGAGCCGGAGGUCGUGGGUUCAAGUCCCGCCGGGGACGCCA
rnacentral:tRNA from 1 species